rnacentral:rRNA from 1 species
GAUGAACGCUAGCGGGAGGCCUAACACAUGCAAGCCGAGCGGUAUAGAAUCUUCGGAUUUUAGAGAGCGGCGUACGGUGCGGAACACGUGUGCAACCUACCUUUAUCUGGAGGAUAGCCUUUCGAAGGAAGAUUAAUACUCCAUAAUAUAUUGAUUGGCAUCAAUUAAUAUUGAAAGCUCCGGCGGAUAGAGAUGGGCACGCGCAAGAUUAGUUAGUUGGUGAGGUAACGGCUCACCAAGACGAUGAUCUUUAGGGGGCCUGAGAGGUGAUCCCCCACACUGGUACUGAGACACGGACCAGACUCCUACGGGAGGCAGCAGUGAGGAAUAUUGGACAAUGGGUGCAAGCCUGAUCCAGCCAUCCCGCGUGAAGGACGACUGCCCUAUGGGUUGUAAACUUCUUUUGUAUAGGGAUAAACCUCUCCUCGUGAGGAGAGCUGAAGGUACUAUACGAAUAAGCACCGGCUAACUCGUGCCAGCAGCCGCGGUAAU